GAACUCUAGAAGGAUCCUUUUUCUUUCUCAUCUCUAACAAAAAAAAGAGCACCAUCGUCCAACAGCUAACUCUUUUCUUCAUCUUCUCAUCCAGAUCCAGCAAGCACAUCUCGGUCAACAUGUGCGCUUCCAUGGAAUUAAAUAUUAGUCCGAGGAUAUUUCCGUCAUUUCAAAGACCGCUGGUUUCUCGACCGUAGAGAAGUGGCGCCAUCUCCAACUAAGAAAAAUCCAGAACAUCUGCUCUCUUCGUCUUUCCUAUUGUAGUCAAGUUUGAACUUUAGUGUGUUUCCUUUCGUCAAUCGUAUUUUUUGGUGUCCAAAGUGCGAGGAGCUAAAACUUCCUCGUGAAGGAGCUGCUUUAUGGUUUGUAGCUAUGAUCAUUCUCUUUAUGAAUUAUUUUGUAGCUACGACCAUUCUCUUACUGAAGUAACUUCUCCAUCUUUCAUUAGUCGAGCUGAAGCUUAAUUUUGGGAUUACUGAUAUGUAUAACUUAUAUCAUAGCUGAAACCAUCAAUCUGUAGGAAAUCUUUUUUUUUUUUUUUUUUUUUUUUUUUUUUUUGGUAAUAGCUUGUACAUAGGAUAUAUAAGUUCGGUAUAGUUUUUGUGAUACAAGACAGGAGGGAUAAUGGUGUACUCGAUGCUUCUUAAAGAUUUGAUGUGUGCAUAACCUCUGCACCUUUUAUGCUAUGUUUGCAGGAUUUUUGUAACAGGACUAUUUGGCACAUUGUAAACUAGAUUUCCUAUUUGCAUAAGUUGUUCAAUGUCAAAAACUUAGGUUCAGUGGUGGAAACGGAACAAUGAAGGACAUUAUAAAACUGCAGCUAAUAGGCAAAAAGUUAUAAGGACUGCAACUAUCUAUCUGAGAGACCAAAAUAAAGUGGAACUUGAAAAAUUAUCUACAGUUGCGAACCAAAAAGGAAAAGUUAUCUUUCUAGACACUAGCUUGAUAAUGCUUCUUGUCAGCACGCAUGAUUGUUUCAAAUCAUCUUGGACCUCUCACAAGUCUGUCCACUUGAAGGCAAAUUAUCUUCUCUGGCAACUAAAACUUUAGGAGAACAAAAUGCAGCCUCACCUAGCAACGAUUGGCUAUGUUACUUGAGGAAAGGACAGGCUCAAACACUUCAUUUACUCUGACAUUUGUUUGUUCUUCAAGGUUUGUCGUUAUGACCUACCAAAGUCAAGUCUUGGCACAUUCUUGACUCUAAGACAUGUUGAAGCCAGCGAAACUUAAGGGGGAGUUUCCUUAAUAAUAUACUGUAGCUGCUCUCUGUAUGUAAUGGCCUUCUAUGUUGGUAAGAUUUUGUGAAGUUCUUCUUGCUUGAUCUGCUGCUAUAUAUCAAGAAAGCAUCUUUUACUUGGCUCUUAA